CUUGGGAUAAUGUCCAUAGUUAUGGAAAUGAGAUGUAAUGGGGCAGACAGUGAUUAUUUCAAUUCUCACACACAUCGACAGAAAAAAAGGCUGUUUGAUUUCGGCUGAGUCCGACCGGCGCUGGGUUUCCAUUCAGACUCCCAAGCCUGUCAGACCAGAUGAGGUCAUCGGUGACCCAGACGAACCGGUCAUCUAAGCUCCCUUCAAAACACUGAGCUGCUGCUCCGGGCCACGAAACGAUUGGCUCCCAUCCAAGGGAACCCCGGCUUACAUGAGGGUCCAGAUUCUUCUCUUCUCUGCGAGGAUGGACGACCGCACAGCGACUACAAAGGAGACUGCGCUCUUUUGGUGAGCGGGAGAACGGUGACAGCCCAGCCAACCGCAACCUUUGGGAGGAAGUGGAUUAAGAACACAUUAAAAGCAUCCGCACCUUCCUCUGAAACAGGAGCCUCUCCCCCGUUUUUGACAGAUACCCAGGAAUUCCGCCUUCCUGCUGGUGCUUUCAUCAAAAGUAACUUACGUAUGUAUAUUGGUGGAUAGUUCGGGUCCAGAAAGUGAAAAUCCAGGCCAUGAGUUUGUUUCAACCAACCAGUUCAUUAUACAGAAUCAUAAUGUCAGGGUACUCAACAGGUUGGUUGAAACUAAAUCUUGACCUGGGUAUUAACUUUCUGGACCUGAACUAUCCACCCCUGGUUAUUUAUUUUUAUUUAGCAGAAACUUUGAUUCUAUGAAAUGUACAGUUGAGAGAGCAGGGUCAACCAGUCCCUGGAACAACUGGGCCUUAAGGGCCCAACGGUGACACCACCCCCAGGGUUUGAGCCUCCUCAGACUCAUAACACUGAGCCACACACUGCUGCUUGGCAAUUGGUUGGAAAAAUUAAAGUCAUGUACCAUGUUCAAGAGUUUAACAGUAGGGAUCCUCUUCCACAGCUUUUUGGUUACAAGUGUUCGUCCUCACAAGUUGGGUUAGGUCAGGUGAGCAGGUAACCCUGUGCCGCAUGGGGCUGUCGAGUUCGGGAAUUCAGGUCCCAGCUCAGUCCUGGGGGGUGGAAAAAGACACUGGGGAGGGAAGCCGACCCUUUUUGUAAGAGGUUCUUUUUCACUAUGCCGCCCCCGUCUUGCUGUUCACCAAGGUUUAAGGAGUCAUUCGCAAAAGGGGAGAUUAACCUAAUAAUACUGCUGACCCCCCCCCUCCCCCACCUCCCAGGCCAUUGUGUCCUGCCUUUAACAGCUAAUUUGGCAGACAUGGAAUAAAGCCUGCUGUUCAGGGGCACGGACAUAUUCACAAAGAAUGAAAGAAAGCUACACUUAGCAAACCCAGCAGGAAACAGAUGCCCGUGCACCUCCCAGGAGAAGUAUGGCAAAAAUCCUGCACCCAGAUCUUUUUAGAUAACACACCGUUUGUAUCCUUUUAUAGCUGAAGGUUUACAUGGUGAUGUCAGACUGGACACAUCUCAAGCCUUUUUUAAAGGUCACAGGUAAGGUGUGACUUACAUUACGGGAAAACUGAAAUCGUCCCUAGAGUUAAAUACCACCAGAUGGCCACCCAUAAAAUUUUAUCAUUUGAUCAGCUGAGAUGCAGUGUCCUCCACAAUUAUUCGCCACCCUUUGUCAAGAUUUGUAAAUGGUUAGUAGCUUCACCUCACACCGAGGAAAUGAGAAAAAUCCAUUGAAAUAAAUUUCAUAAAAAAAAAAAAAAACAAAUCCUUCACCAAGAAAUAAUUAUUUUCAACAAAAACACGUGCCACUAUUAUUGGCACCCCAGCAUUUAAUACUUUCCACAACCUCCCUUUGGCAGUAUAACAGCACUGAGUCUUCUCCGAUAACAUUUAAUAAGGUUGGAGAAUACCAAGCAGGGCAUCUUAGUCCAUUCCUCUUUACAGAAUCUCUCCGGAUCAUCCGGGGCCGUAGGCCCCUGCAUGUUUCUCAUUUUUUCAGUGUGAGAUGAAGCUGCUUCACCAAAAGGUGGAUUUUUUUCUAACACUUUUUUACAAAUCUUCACAAGGGGUGUCAAUGAUGGAUUCUUAAUUUAAGGUAUGCAUGGUGUUUUUAUCCUACAGCAUAGUGAAAGAAGAAUCUAUUAUGUCUCUGGUUUAUAAAUACAAUGAUGGACAUUUUCAAAAUUUUAUGUCCGGGGGGAAAAGUCAACAACCAGGUGAGACAACUAUUGAAGUAUCUUGAGAUAUUUAAGCGCAGAAAUCCCCCAUCUCCCCAGCUGUCUGGGUGAAGGAUGUCUGUGACUCAGCAUCUGCUAAUCUGUGAUGAUUCAUGAAGGUCGCCAUUCCACACGCGAGAGCACAAGUACCGUCAGCUGCAGGUGAGCAAUAGCAGUCGAUCCUUAAGUCGCUGCCUGCUCGGGACGUGGGACGAUACCCCAAGUGAGCUCCAGGGGAAGCCACCUUGACCAAAAUCCUCUGCUGGGCAUAAAUAAUAUGAUGUUACAGAUCCCAAACUUUUACACCCUGAAGUUACAUAAUCUGAUUAGGAAGUUAAGUCAGAAACUGUAGAUACUGGAUGAUAAUGUAAGACGAAUCUGUUCGUGCUACGCCUGUGACAACCUUUCUGGGUCUUUCAUGGCAUAUUCAAAGAGGAUAGAUAUGUAUACCAUUACAUACUGGGUUACUGGAGCUACCUGUCAGGAGACUGGGUGGGGAAAGGUAGUUGUUUGUUCUCCUUAACAGACCCACCCACAAACACAGGUUGAAAGAGUUUGUUUGUGAAGGACUGAAAAUCGAUCCGUUGCAGUUGUCGGGGAGCUGGCCUGUGGAGACGGGCUUCCAAAAGGAAGCCUAGGUGUGGACAGAGCCUGUCCGCCUGCCCACUGCAUGAGGGCCCCUGGGAGCAGAGGAUUAUGGGAAGACAAAACCCCAGCAGGCAGGUGACCUCCGACAAGAGCAGAGAGAGAGAAAGAGAAAGAGAGACAGCUGUCAGCGUACGGCGAUCGCCCAUCAGCCGCAUGGGAGAAGGCGUUAUAGCAAGCCCUGAGCCAAAAUUAAAACACAACACAACCAACAGUAAUUUAGGCUGCAGACCAAUAAGAGGGUAGGGCUGUCUGUGUAGGUGGAGUUUCGGGAAGCCUUUUGUUCCUGAGGAGGUUAAGGCAAGUCAAAGACACCAGUAUUUCAUAGAGAUGGCUAUUAAAAAAAAAAAAGAACAUAGGGUAGCUUUGCAAGGCAGGGGAAGAUAAAAGGCUUUUGUGUGAACUUUUGAGUGGCUACCAAUGAGCGCAGUGCAAGGCACAGGACUGUAAUUUGAAUUAUUAUUAGACUCUGUAACACAAUAAUUCUCUGGCUGUCAUUAGCACAUAGCCCAGAGCAGAGUAGCACUGCUGCUCCAGAAAUUCAGAAGCAGGAUUGAAAGUGUUG